AGCUAGGGGAAGGUGGCUCUCUGUAGCAUAGCGGAUGGGGCCCAGAGACACUGCAAGAGAAAGACCCAAUUUUCAACCUGUUCCUCAUCUUUUGACUACAUAAUUUGAGCUAGGGCAGAGAGGGGUGCUUCCUUGAUCUUCUUCCCAGCUCCAAACCAAGUGGAACAGCUAAUCAUGUUUCAAACUACCUUCACAAGAGCCCAGGAAAUAAGAAUGAAGAUAAGAAAAAUAAAAGAGAAUAAGGUA